rfam:Camponotus floridanus CamFlo_1.0_4.contig1978, whole genome shotgun sequence.
CAAUCGGCCCUUUUCAGGGCCAACAAUUUUUUUCGAAAGAACAUC